UACAGAGGGGGCAAGCGUUGUUCGGAAUUACUGGGCGUAAAGGGCGCGUAGGCGGCCUGUUAAGUCGAACGUGAAAUCCCCGGGCUCAACCCGGGAACUGCGUCCGAUACUGGCAGGCUUGAAUUCGGGAGAGGGAUGCGGAAUUCCAGGUGUAGCGGUGAAAUGCGUAGAUAUCUGGAGGAAUACCGGUGGCGAAGGCGGCAUCCUGGACCGAGAUUGACACUGAUGAGCGAAAGCUAGGGGAGCAAACGGG
rnacentral:rRNA from 1 species